rnacentral:rRNA from 1 species
UACGAAGGGGGCUAGCGUUGCUCGGAAUCACUGGGCGUAAAGCGCACGUAGGCGGAUCGUUAAGUCAGGGGUGAAAUCCUGGAGCUCAACUCCAGAACUGCCUUUGAUACUGGCGAGCUCGAGUCCGGGAGAGGUGAGUGGAACUGCGAGUGUAGAGGUGAAAUUCGUAGAUAUUCGCAAGAACACCAGUGGCGAAGGCGGCUCACUGGCCCGGUACUGACGCUGAGACGCGAAAGCGUGGGGAGCAACAGG